AUGAGUAACAUCAAUUGUGCGACCAUGUCCUGGAAUGUCCGGGGACUAAACUUAGCGGCAAGGCGGGAAACAGUUAGAGAGGUAGGGGCUGCGCAGCGACUCGCCAUCCUCUGCAUCCAGGAAACUAAGAUAGAAACGUGGUCUCAGGCCAUGGUUAGUGACAUCGGCGGUAGUUCUUUGAAAGAUUGUGUAGUUCUGCCAGCGAUAGGCUCAAGGGGAGGCAUCACGAUCUUCUGGAACCGGGACCUUGUGUCUGUCCGCUCCCAGGCUGUUGGUCAAUUCUCGAUCACGGCCACUGUCACUAUAGUUAGCUCGGCGACUAGCUUUGUUCUAACCUCUGUCUACAGCCCCUCCGACGGCAACAACAAAGACACUUUCUUCGCUGAAUUAGCUAGCACGGCACCCCCUGUAGGCACUCCAUGGCUAGUUAACGGUGACUUCAACGUAAUUUACGAAGCAAGAGACAAGAACAACCACAAUCUCAAUAGAAGGUUGAUGAGCAGAUUUAGAUCGGCUUUAGACUCCGUGGCGCUAAAAGAGAUUAAAUGCAAAAAUAGGAGGUUCACUUGGAGUAACGAGUGGGAAUCGCCCAUGUUAGUUAGCAUCGACAAAUUCUUCGCUAACCUAGAAUGGGAGGCCCUUUUCCCCUCCUUGCCAGCGCCACCACUCCUCCUCGGCGAGCAAUAUUUCGCUUUGAAAGCUUUUGGGUUAGCUUUCCUCAUUUCAGAGAAACGGUGCUGCGGGCAUGGCAACGCCCCGCCACACAAACUUGUGCCUUCAGCAGAAUUAAAACAAGGCUCGAGCGGGUGGCCAAAGAUCUGA
rnacentral:rRNA from 1 species